rnacentral:rRNA from 1 species
ACUGCGAACGGCUCAUUACAACAGAUAUAAUUUACUUGUUCUCUUCCUAAACGGAUAACUGCGGUAAUUCUGGAGCCAAUACGUGUCAAACAGCCGUGUGCAGCAAUGCGUACGGUGCACUUAUCGGAGCAAACCAUUUUGCGUUAAAUCUGGAUAACACUGCGUAUCGCAUGACCUAGUGUCGGCGAAGUUACAUUCAAGUAUCUGCCUUAUCAACUAUCGUUGGUAGUGUAUUGGACUACCAUGGUGUUGACGGGUAACGGAGAAUCAGGGUUCGACUCYGGAGAGGGAGCCUUAGAAACGGCUACCAUGUCUAAGGACAGCAGCAGGCGCGCAACUUAUCCACUGUUCAUCGAACGAGAUAGUGACGAGAAAUAACAAGCCCAUUCUCUAUGAGGUUGGGCAUUGGAAUGGAUGGAACGCAAACAAUUCCAUGAGUAUCAAUGAGAGGGCAAGUCUGGUGCCAGCAGCCGCGGUAAUUCCAGCUCUCAUAAUGUAUAGAAUUAUUGUUGCGGUUAAAAAGUUCGUAGUUGGAUUUAGUGCUGUUUGCCGGUCGACCUUAACGGGUUGUACUGGCAACAGCUUUUACACCCAAGUGGGUUCUACUCACUGGGGUGUGGAUUACUUUGAACGGCUUAAGUGCUCAAGGCGAGUCUUCGGACUGAAUACCGGUGCAUGGAAUAAUGGAACAAGGUUUAGGCCGAGUUUUAUUGGUUUUGUCGGCCGAGACAAUGGUUAAUAGGAACAGCUGGGGGCACUCGUAUCGAUGCACGAGAGGUGAA